UACGGAGGGUGCAAGCGUUGUCCGGAAUCACUGGGCGUAAAGGGCGCGUAGGCGGAUGGCACAGUCAGAUGUGAAAUUCCCGGGCUUAACCUGGGGGCUGCAUUUGAUACGUGUUGUCUAGAGUGAGGAAGAGGGUUGUGGAAUUCCCAGUGUAGAGGUGAAAUUCGUAGAUAUUGGGAAGAACACCGGUGGCGAAGGCGACUUACUGGACACAUAUUGACGCUGAGGUGCGAAAGCGUGGGGAGCAAACAGG
rnacentral:rRNA from 1 species